UGGGAAUUUUGGACAAUGGGGGCAACCCUGAUCCAGCAAUGCCGCGUGUGUGAAGAAGGCCUUCGGGUUGUAAAGCACUUUUGUCCGGAAAGAAAACGUCGUGGUUAAUACCCGUGGCGGCUGACGGUACCGGAAGAAUAAGCACCGGCUAACUACGUGCCAGCAGCCGCGGUAAUACGUAGGGUGCAAGCGUUAAUCGGAAUUACUGGGCGUAAAGCGUGCGCAGGCGGUCCGCUAAGACAGAUGUGAAAAUCCCCGGGCUUAACCUGGGAACUGCAUUUGUGACUGGCGGGCUAGAGUAUGGCAGAGGGGGGUAGAAUUCCACGUGUAGCAGUGAAAUGCGUAGAGAUGUGGGGGAAUACCGAUGGCGAAGGCAGCCCCCUGGGCCAAUACUGACGCUCAUGCACGAAAGCGUGGGGAGCAAAACAGGAUUAGAUACCCU
rnacentral:rRNA from 1 species